rfam:TPA: Bos taurus chromosome 18, whole genome shotgun sequence.
UCCCUGGUGGUCCAAUGGUUAGGACACUGUGAUUUCACUGCUGAAGGUUUGGGUUCAAUCCCCGGUCAGGGAA